rnacentral:tRNA from 1 species
GGCUUGGUAAGAACGG